CCUACGGGAGGCAGCAGUGAGGAAUAUUGGUCAAUGGGCGAAAGGCUGAACCAGCCAAGCCGCGUGAAGGACGAUGGCUCUAUGGUUUGUAAACUUCUUUUAUCCGGGAAUAAAGUGAGGAACGUGUUCCUUUUUGUAUGUACCUUCUGAAUAAGCAUCGGCUAACUCCGUGCCAGCAGCCGCGGUAAUACGGAGGAUGCGAGCGUUAUCCGGAUUUAUUGGGUUUAAAGGGUGCGUAGGUGGUUAGUUAAGUCAGCGGUGAAAGUCCGGGGCUCAACCAUAGAAGUGCCGUUGAUACUGGCUGACUUGAGUGGAGUUGAGGUAGGCGGAAUGCGUGGUGUAGCGGUGAAAUGCAUAGAUAUCACGCAGAACUCCGAUUGCGAAGGCAGCUUACUAAACUAUAACUGACGCUGAGGCACGAAAGCGUGGGGAUCAAACAGGAUUAGAUACCCGUGUAGUC
rnacentral:rRNA from 1 species